rnacentral:lncRNA from 1 species
AGGGUGGUCUGGUCAAACAAUUACUUAAACUAAGUAUACUGAUUUCUGGUUCUACCGCGAAAAUUUCAUCUUAAGCCCUCUCAUUGUUGUGGGCUGUUAGUCCGGAGACCUUGGUACAAGAAUCACAGGGUGGAAGGCAAUGCUUAUGGUUCAAUGAAUGCACCGACCAAUUAUAGAUUGCUUUCCUGUGGAUGACAGAGUGGGUGAGCUUUGGUGCAACAGUAAUGUUGCUCCAUUGUGACAUGGAGUUUAUGCAUUACCGCCCUUCUGCAUGCAGGGACACUUUCUAAAUCCGACAAUGGCAUGAGCUUUGUGCAUUGAGCUAUUUCUUUUUGCUAUGGAUGCCGGUAUUAUUAUUUAUUUGGGAUACGGCACAGGCUGUAAGUAGUAGCUCAUAAAAUAAGCCAGGCUUAAAUUUCUGACACCGUCUUAUCGUUCUUAGAAGAACAAACUCAUUAUUACUGAAAAAAAAGGUAUGAACUCCUGGAAUAACAUGCAGAGGACAAGUUUAUGAAGGUCUGUCUGGUGUUUCAUCUAUUCCAAAUCCAUUUGGAGAGGAAGUACUUUGAAUAAAUACCUUGGAAGCUGGUAAUGUUUGGUCUAAAAGUUUGUUUGUCAUGAGGCAGAAUGAGAUUGCUAAGAUAGCUGGAAAUGGUGCAAAUCAUAGAAGAAGUGGUAGGUAAUGAAGUUGCCAAGCCAGCAUUUAUGGGUCUUAUGAACUUUUUGUGUAUGCAUAGCAAAUGCCUAAAGCAUCUUCUGAUAGAACAACUUGCCGGGCAGAGUAUACUCGGGCAACUACUACAUGGACUUGCAUCUAUUUUAUUUUCUUAAUGAAUUGGCAGAGUACUGGGCAAUCCUUCCCUCAAA